UUGGCCUCUGUCCAUGCUGAACUCCUUCUCGUUUGUCAUUUGGCCUGGCCCAGUUUUGUCAUCUGAAGCUAUGGCUAGUCCUUCAUGAGUUCUCAUCCAACUUGUCAGGCAGGGCAGGGCCCCUGUGGAAUCUGAAGUGGGACUCUGGAUUAUUCUAGUGUCAUCAUGAGCCCCCAGCUCCUCCCCCACAGUGCACACCACAUCACUGGGGGGAGUCAUUUGUGGCAAAUUUGUUAAAAUCAGCAUCACCUAAACCAAGUCCCAGGACCCUCUUCUUCAGAAUAGAUGGAGGCUGGUAUGGUCUAACAGGAUUCACUCCACUGCCCAGUGUCCCUUCCCCAUCUUAGCUGCUUCUGAUUGACACACUGUUCUAGAUGCUUGAGAUCAGUAAGCUAAGCGGUACCCAAGGGGGCAUCCCCCUCUCUGCGGAGAAGGGGAGGGGGCAAUGGGAGAGGGAUUUGUAAGGGUGGGACUGAUAGGAGAGAGGGGACUGUGAGUGGGAUGUAAAGUGAAUUAAAAACAAAAAGAUUUGCUUAUUCUGUCUUCUCAUCCUAGGGGGAACAGAGACCAGCUCUACCUUUGGCCUGGGCAUAGCACCUGCUUAGCCUCGAUCCCCUAAGGCUGCUGUUCUAGCACAGUCCCUAACCUGCUAGUUUCCUGGAAGGUGAUCUUGAGGGUCAGAAAGGAACCUCUUUAAUGUCUGUCCUUUAGAAAGGACCUCCUCAGAAACAUCCUACACUUUACCCACUUGUUUUGGAGGGAAUUCCUAGAAAGCCCUGGGGACCCUGCUGACCUGUAGGCUUGGGGGAGCAUGGGGUUGGUGUGGGUGCUGUGGUCACACACAAAGAGCUAAGAGCGCCAGGGAAAGGUGAAGAUGCUAAAAACCGAGGCCGAUGGGCGUCAGACUCUUACUGCAAGAGCUGGGUACAUGUCGUGUCACCUUUUCUGUCCUUGAGCGGUGACUCUGCAGAAUUCGUGCUGAGUCAUGGGCCACCCUCUCCUUUGCAGAUAGCCAGAGUCAGUGCAGCAAGGAGGGAGGUCUGGGCCCUGUAACAUGAGCUCUUCAAACAUAUCCUGCAGCCCAUCUUUCCUGGGCUCCCUUUAUUAAGAAGGGAGAUGAAUUGAGGAACUGAAGUUUGGGCUGUGGGGAGUGUUCAGUUUUAAGGUGCCCACAGACUUGCCCAGUCUGUCCUGGCUGGGGACUUUUCACUUCACAGCAUCUUUCUGGAAAAAGACCUACAGUGCCUUUUUUUCCCCCAUCAUGUCUGUGCACCCAAGAGCAAACUGGCCUUCUACACUCUCCCAUAGAUGUUCUUUCUCCAGCAUCUUUAUGUUUUCUGUCUCAAUUUCUCUUGUCCCUAGAAUAUGUUGUCUCGCCACUGUCCCAAUAUCCUUGUCCCUGGAGCCUCCUUCAGUUUAUGUCAGGGGCCUGUCUGGCCUUGGUCCUAUCACUCCAAACCGGAGGCUUUCUCUUCCCACGGCCUGGGGGUAUUUCCCUUAGGCCAUGGCUUAGUCUGGGUCUCCGAGUCCUUGAUUUUUGAGUGCCUAGACCCUGUCCCACCUAUUUUGUUUUUCUUUGGACACACACUAAAAGGCCAAGUUUGCAAAACAGCUUCUGGGCAGAUCCUUAGACAGGUAGAUCUCACUGGGGUCGCUCUGCUGGAUUUCUGAAGAAUCAGAAGUUGUCCGUGGUCCUGCUGGGUGGCCUCAAAGACUGAGGUCAGAAAGAAGGGCAUCCCAGAGUCCUAGGUUUGGGGGGCACACUUUCUGGCUUAUAAUGCAUCUUAUCUUCUUUCAUAUGUUCAGAAUCUUGCUUGGCUUGUCAUUAGGUUUGGGUGUGGUUUGAGCCUCCUUGUAGGGUGAGUACAAGCACACCAUCCUACCUUUGUGCCUUUCCUGUGCGGAACUGGGCUCCUAUCCAGUUAGUCAGGACUAGAGACUGGGUCAGGAGAUUUCUGAUUUUGAUACCAGCUGCCCACAUCUGCCUCCUAGUUCUGAAGCAAGGAGCCUCUGUAGGGCUUGAAGUUUCCAUAUGUGUCUUCUCACUCCGUACCUCUUGUCCUGCCUCCUUGGCAGCCCUCCCCCACAGUGGCUGUGCAGUCCUGUCCCCUCUUUUCUUUGCUCAGUUUUAAACAAGGGUCUGGGAGGACAGUGGCCAUGGAUGACAUUUUGUAUGUAAGCGUCCUGGAUGUGUUACUUUGGGAGAGUUUCUGGUUUUCUUACUGUAGAGUUGGCGAUACUGGAGGAGGGGAUAGGUCUCUUGUGUGAGUUUCCAUUCCUAAACUCACAGUGCAUGGGGAGGUGGACUCUCCUCUGGGCAGGGCAGGAAUAGGAAUGUGGUCGCAAGUCACUGGCCUAGGAAUAGUGCUGAGCAUUGCUGAGGCAGGCACAAGUCAGCAAGGACAUCCUGCUUUAUUGGAGAUGUUUUACUGUUCAUAUUUCCAUGAAUUCUGGUUCUAAGAUGUUACAUUAAAACAGUGCUUGUCUUAAUU
rnacentral:lncRNA from 1 species